GAAGCAUGCCUUCUUAUCAAACAGGUGCAUGGCCCCCUUGCGGGGGGGGUCACCCAUCACCUGCAUCCCCGUGUGUCACGGUGUUGCCUCACACCAUUAACGCAUCAAAAUGGAAAAGGAAAUGUAAGCAGUGUUUGCUGUCCAAAGUUCACGUCAACAACUCCUUAUUAUGAAGGCACUUCUGAGCCUUUCCUCCUGCAUCUGGGAGCUGCCAGCAACCCAGUUCCAGGAGAGAAAAUAGCUCGACACCUCCUGCAGCCCAUGGAGUCCUCUUGUUGGGACAAGGUCCCCCCAGGAGAGAGGAGCCCCCAGCAGGGUCAACACUGGAAGUCCUGGGGGUGGGUGGUGCUGGGGAGGCCAUGCGGGGAGGGCUGUUCCCUGUUCCCUUCCCCUCAGGAGACAGCUGGCCCAAGGUGACACAGGACCGGAUGGGAUUUCAGGGUCAGGGACCACGGAGCCCGGGGCUGUGGACCACACCAGCCCAAAGCCACUGCAUGCCCCAGACCGGGGCUGUGGACCACACCAGCCCACGGCCACUGUAUGCCCCAGACCAACACGAGAAGAGUGCAGACCAACAACAUCUUCGUCUACGUUGGGGCACUGCGUAUCCCCUGUGGGAAAGACAACACUGGCUGCUGACCGAACUCCAUCGGCCUCUUCCUCCGUCCUGAGGGCAUCUUCCUCCAUCCUGACAGCAGCCUGGGCUUACCUCAGUCCCAGGGCGGGGGAGGAGGACGCACUGUGCACCCUCCCAGCUCUCCUCCGCCCCUUCCCUCAGGCUGGCCCAAGAGCAGCCUGGACAGUCAGGUGCUGGGGACACCGAGCUGCCCCUCCUCGGCCCACAACCUCAGGCCACCUGUCUCAUUUGUGACUGAGAAACAGAGCUGCAGCUGCAGGCGGGAGGCGGGACACGCUGGGAUCUACCCAUGGCCAGGCCGAGCUGCUCUGAUCACUCAAGCUUCACUUUCAUCACUUGCUCUACCAAAUAAACUAGAAUAAAAUAUGCCACUUCCUCCUUUGCACACACUCCCAAGCCUCCCAUCCCACUUCCCGGCGCUGACCCCAUAAGAACACUUUCUGUGCCUUUCCAGGUAUUUUCUAUCCUCCUCAAGCACAGAACCACAUUCAGAGUGAAUUUUUUUUUUUUUU